UCUGAGUAAGUUUAGGCGAGGCAAUAAAAGAGUAAAAAGCCUAAAACCUACCAAAUUUCUGCAUUCGAUUCAUAAGAGCCUUAGGAAACUUUGUGAAUAAAAAUGAUGGUGACGUAAUGAAAAUUGCAAUAUUGAAUAAGGAAAAUGCAUUUUCCAAAAUGCAUUUCGAAGUAAUGAAAACUGAUAAAUUUUUAAUUCGGAGAUAAGUUCAAUUUUGCCAGAAAUGAGAUCAAUAUUGCUACCCGGGAGUUUUUGGGCUCGCUGAGCACGAAUAGCAUGACGGCAAUGGUCUCCGAAGCACCUGGUGCUCAGGCUGGACUCGUCUCCUGGAGUUUUAUGGAAAUUCAAUACAAAAUCAAUUCGGUGGUUUUUUGGGGUCGCUGAUCACGGAUAUAACUGACACUGACGUGCUUCGUCUACUGGAGUUUUGUGAAAAUUCGAUACAAAAUCGUCAGUGCAAGCUCGUUACUUGGUUGCUUCUGAGUCGCUGAACAUUAAGAUCAUGUCAGCGAUGGUUUCUUAAGUACCUGGUACCCUGAUGGUGUAACGUUACAAUGUUCCAUCUCCUUUCUAUAAUUUAUCCUAUUGUCUUCCUUUGCGUUUUACUUCUCAUAUAUAGAUUUUCCCUUUAUUUUGUUUCUUUGACAUUUGAGUUAAUUUUCGUUCCAAGCCUUUUCGUUUUAGUUAACAUUUCAUUAUGUAGUCUUUCCAUUCAAAUUAAGUUCCCAUUCGCUAUUCAAAAAUUAAGUUCAGCACUUCAAUUGUUCUAGCUCCUGUCCUAUUCCCUUAACGUACUUCAAAUAAUAAUUUUCUGAAACCAGAAACUAUUUAUUGUAAUUAGCGAGCAUCAAAUAUUCGUCAGUACUAGUUUUUCUCCAAUAUGUUAACCACUUAAAAAUGAGUGCCUUCAUAUAAUUUGUUCUCUUCCGAAUAAAACUUGAAAGAAGCAAAACCCAUGAAAUAAUACUAUCUACAACAAGAAGUUUUCCCAACUUAUUUGGGUCGCUGGGGAGAACUAAUUCCCAAGCUGUAUGAAUCAAGUACCAUAUGCACCGGUGCCCAUGUAACUACAAUAAGGGCCUGCAUCCGAACACCUCCACCUCCAGUCAACAGAGGCUACGUGAAGCCGAAGUCCCUUCAAAACCUGAGGACGGCAACGGAGAUCCCUCGACGGACGCAAAAGAUAAGUAGCCCUCUUGUAGUCAGGUGUUAGCAAAGUGCUACUGAACAAAUUAGUUUCCUUGGCAAUUUUCUUUUUGUUAAUAAUCUUCAAUUUCCUUUCUUCAGUAUUUUAAAUAGCAAUAAUGUGUAUCUGAUUGAUUUACUAGGGUCAAUAAAUGAAUAUGUAAAA
rnacentral:lncRNA from 1 species